AGGCCGGCGUCGCGGAGCAGCGGGAGCGCCGUCGUGCUGCCGUGCAUCGGGGCGGAGGAGAACAGGCCGCCGUCC
rnacentral:SRP_RNA from 13 species